rnacentral:rRNA from 1 species
ACCACUAUUAAUGAUUAGCUUUUCCUCCCUGCUGAAAGUGCUUUACAACCCUAGGGCCUUCUUCACACACGCGGCAUGGCUGGAUCAGGCUUGCGCCCAUUGUCCAAUAUUCCCC